UAGAGAUUUGCGGGCGAUGAAUAACAAGUCCCUAUAUUUACCGUAUGUAUUGUAUUAUUCAGGAUAUCUGGAAAUUUUAUUUUAUUUUUAAUUGAGGGAAAUCUGGAAGAUUAGUUAGGGUUAGAACUUGGAAAGGAAUUUUGGGUAUGUCGAUUUUCUUCAAAUUGUUUCUUUGAAUUCUCUUCAAUUUUCAGUAUCUCAAUUGAAUGAAUCAAGGAGACGCUGAGAAUUAAGAGAGCUUCUGCACUUUCUGAUUUGCAGGAAACAACUAAGAAAUUCAAAUCUUUGAAUGAACAAGAAAAUUCUGAGGACGACUACGAUGCGUGGGAAGGUCCCCAGUCUCCAGUUAGAGGGGAAAUUGAAUACACUUUUCCAAAAAGAGACUUCACAGAGGAGCUUAAACGUCAAAAUGUUGAGGCUGCUGAACAUGCUUUGGAAUUCUACAAUAAGAAAUACCGGAAAAACUAUCAGCUUGUAGAUGCCUUGGCUAGCAAUGCCAUGUUAUACGAUACAAUUUGGAUCCACUGCUAAGGAACAAAGGACUUCUGAUGGCGAUGAGGAUUCUCCAACCAAGCUUCGUGGUAUCAAAGAUCCACCGUAUAAUUCAGUAACUAAUUGUCGAAUCUUAAAAGGUAGUGAAUCUGCUGGAUGUUCGUCAUGCGAAACCAUUAAGCAUCCAUCCCAUGGAUUUCUUUCUGAACGUAUCUUUCGUCUCGGCUCUUUACGUCCUCGCCCGGGUCGUGCUCGCUGAAUUCUGCAGUCUCAACAAUUGCUGCUUGUAAUUGGCUUAUGUAAAUCUGAUUCAACUGUCAUGUUCUAAAAUUAUGUAGACAUUGGUUGCAUAUUCUGACGUAAUGUUUAUGAUCUCUAAUGUCUUCUCAAAAGUUAAAUGCUGGGAAUUCAGUUUAUUCCAAUGGAUUUUUUUUAAAUAAGUAUUUUAUAAUUCCUUGA